rnacentral:misc_RNA from 1 species
CGCACCUUGCACUCCUUGGUAUUCCGAGGAGUACGCCUGUUCGAGUGUCGUGAAAUUCUCAAGCAAGAUAGCUUUAUUGCUAUUCUAGUUUGGAUUUGGGCUUUGCUGUGUUACUGCGGCUAGUCUUAAAAGCAUUAGCUGACUCUUGGUUUACAAGAUUGGUUCUACUCGGCGUGAUAAUUUUCUGAUCGCUGAGGACAUUUUCCGGAAUGGCCAGACUUGUCCUUGAGUUGCUUCUAACACGGUCCUAAUUAUUGGACUUUCUUCAUGAUUUGGCCUCGAAUCAGGCGGGACUACCCGCUGAACUUAA